rnacentral:lncRNA from 1 species
UGAGGUCUUAGGUCAAGUAGAGUUUGGAUGGGAGGGUUCGGGUUUGGUAAUGGUAUUUGGGUUCCAAGCCCUUCUUGUUGGACUUGGUGGAGUGGAGGAUGGCUUGGUCUAUCUUGUUCUGGGCUUUGGGAGUAAAGAUUGGUUUGAUUUAUGACAAUUGGUGUAUAUUGCAUUUGGUGCAAGGUCUCGGGAGUAUUAGUUGGG